rnacentral:pre_miRNA from 1 species
AGUAGACUAGCUGGGUCAUAUGGUGGUUCCAUUCCUGGAAUUUUGAGGCAUUUCAAUACUGCUUUCCAAAGUGGUUGUACCAGUUUGCAGUCCCACCAGCAAU